ensembl:lncRNA
AUUUUGUUUUCAUACCUUGGUCCUCCCAGGCUGCCAGUUUGGCCUUCCUGUGCUGACACGUAUUGCAUUACCGGUGCUGCAGCACCAGCAGCGUUCCUGACACCUGGUUUUGGCUUCCCAUGUUUCUGGGUGAGCCGUGGAUGUGCUCAGGGAAGCCGGUCGGCCUGCAGGGCUGUGAGGCUGGAAUCAUGUCUCAGAGUUCUCGUGUGAUUGUCCACCUCGGGGAUGGGUUUUAAUGGCUGAAGCAAGCCAUGCUGAUACAGUUUUCUGCUGUUCCUUCGUAUUUCCAUCGCAGUGAGUUGAUUCCCUGGCAGACCUGCCUGGAGCUGGGGGUCAGAGCUGCGGCACGGUGCUGCCAUCCAUGUCCCUCUGUUUUUUAAUGAGCUCUGUCAGAAUUCGUUACUUAGCCAUUAAGUGGUGUCAGCGCAGAGUUCAUGCAUGAGCUAAGUUGAAAAUCUGCUAGGUGUGAAUUAGUGAUGAGAGAAAAGCAGGUCAAGGAACAUGUUGUUUCAGAGCACGCUGAGCUUCAAGCUUAGCAGAGGCGAUACUGGUGCAUCCAAGGUCUUGAGCAGGCAGAAAUAAGAACAUAGGCAGGAGAUGAGAGCAGGUGAUAAGACGUGGUAGCCCAUCCAUCGGUCCGUUGUGGUUCUGCAUGUCACCAACGAGCAGCGUGCUCUGAAGAUGCUCUGGGCCAGUCCCCAAGCCUUUGCAGACAUCAGAGGGCUCUGCUUGCAUCAGUGAGAUGGUCAUGGGUUCAGGUGCUGCUGCGAGAGACAUGUGGAUCCCCAGCAAUCCUGCACAGUGUCAGGAUGGGUUGCCCUGCAAAGGGAGGCAGGGUUUUACCUCAAGUACUGGAAAAAGACACUUCCUCCGCCUGUGAUCACUUGGCAUAGCACCACCUGGAAAUGAGGUGUGAUGGAAAAAAUAAGCCACGAAGAACAAAGCCUACAGCAAAGGCAGGAAUGUGAAUUUGCAGGCUCAGUGAAACUGCUCAGGUCUCCCCGCUGAGGCUGACUAUGUGUUCACCCUCCAGACUGCUUGGGAACGAAGGCAAAGAGAAGAACAUUGUCCCGCAAAGCCAUGUGCCUCGCUUGCAGUCUGGGAGCUGAGGCACAGCUUCUGACUUUGCUCUGCAGCCCCUGUGUCCCAACCACAACCCAGGACACUGAUCAACCUGAAGCUGCUGGUUUUCUUGUGAUGGGCUCCUGUAUGCGUUCCAAAUACUGUUGAGGCUGCUCUGUGGGUAUUUUUAGUGUGCAUCAGGUGCCAACGAGGAAAACAAAAGCCUCUUCUUCAUGAGCCCACGUCUGCAGUUAUUUCCAGUGCCUGUGUCCUCGUGUGCAUCCUGCAGCCCUUGGGGCUCCGACAGCAGGCACUGAGAAAAACCAAGCUUGGGAAAAAUCUAAAUACUUCCCAAGGAAGAACUUCAGGAAAUGCCCAUCAAACAGCUGAGCAGGGGAUUCCUGAGCAGGUUUCCUGUGCUUCUUUGAAAUGCUGAUAAAAAGCUUCGUGAGAUACCUGCACAGAGGAAUUUCCCAAACAGGGCACUGAAAGCUUCACACCACAAUGUAUGCGUGAUACUGGAGCUCCCACACGUGCUGGGUGUUUGGAUAGCGUUCUUAGACCUGCUGAAACCUGCGUAAUGUAGUAAUUAUGGGCUGCUAGCUGUUGAAAGGACUCGUGAAGCUACUCCAAGGGGCAGCUGUCACCUGGGUCCUUCAGAUCCCAGCUCAUGUUUGCCUCUGCACGUCCUCAGCAUGCAAACAGGGCUGAGGGAAAGCACCCUGCCUCCUCCUGUCCCUGGGUGCAGGGAUGGCAAUGGCCGGCAGCACUGACAUCUGCCUCCUGGUGUGACCCCAAGGAUGUGACUUUGGGACAGAAACAACAUGCAGCCAGGCACCCCUGAAAUGCAGCAGGGUCAUGGGAUCCAGCUCUGGCAUUAGUGUGCAGUCCUGAACAUCUGCACCAACAUUUGUGUGCCCAGCCAUCAUUGCAGCACCUGUAGCCAUCUGAGCUGGCGCUGGCUGAAGCAUGAAGCCAGGUGAAGGGGUGGGUUCUUUGGGACUGGCAAAAUAUCCCAUGUGCCUUUCAGUGUUUUCCUCUUUUUUUUUUUUUUUAAUUAUGCUUGGAGCCUCUUCUGAACAGUAAAACCUAAAAAAUAUUGGGGAAAAUCUUAAUGUGCCACUUUUGGAUCUGACAGUGUUUGUUUGUUUGCUUGUUUUUGAGGGUAGCAAUUUACAAAGUCCUGCUUUUGGGUCCUUCCUUCCCCACAUCUCUGCUGGGAACUGCCGGUGCCCCCAUCCCACCACGGGAGCCCUGGGCUGGGAACACAGCAGUGCCUGCUGCUGGGGAGGUAACGCCGCGAACCAGCCUGCGCAUCUUGCAGCCUCUACAAUAUUGCCAAACCUUGUAACACAGAACCAGAUCCCUUUCCAAACCAGCCCCUUGCAGCCCUUCCUUCCUCUCCAAACUGCACCAAUCUCCAGCCAGAGCGAGCCUUGGGUCUGCCCUGCUUCACCCACCUCGUCGCUUCUGUCCCUGCCUCGCAUCUCCCCGCAGCGGUGUUCGGACGCCUCGCCUCUCUCCCGCUGGCUGAGAGCAGCGUGGAUUUCCUUCCAGCGUGACGGUUGGGGUCACUCUUUCACAACGAGCGCUUUCCUCCCGGUACGAUCAGCUCAGCGUCGCGUCCCGCUGACGCCCAACCAGGAUUUCAAGCUUUUGGGACUGCCUUCCCUGGAAAAAAUUAGCGACAUGUUUGAUUUUAAAUAGCGGAAGCGUGCGGGAAUAAGCUUUUCUGUGUGGGUUCGGAAGUUUGCUAAAACACUCUGUGAGCUGC